AUUGAACGCUGGCGGCAGGCCUAACACAUGCAAGUCGAGCGGAGCGGCGGACGGGGGAGUAAUGCCUAGGAAUCUGCCUGUUCGUGGGGGAUAACGUCCGGAAACGGGCACUAAUACUGCAUACUCUUAGAUUCGCCUAGGCCGGAUUAGCUAGUGGGUGGGGUAAGGGCCUACAAAGGCGACGAUCCCUAACUGGUCUGAGAGGAUGAUCAGUCACACUGGAACUGAGACACGGUCCAGACUCCUACGGGAGGCAGCAGUGGGGAAUAUUGGACAAUGGGCGAAAGCCUGAUCCAGCCAUGCCGCGUGUGUGAAGAAGGUCUUCGGGUUGUAAAGCACUUUAAGUUGGGAGGCGUUACCAACAGAAGAAGCACCGGCUAACUUCGUGCCAGCAGCCGCGGUAAUUC
rnacentral:rRNA from 1 species